rnacentral:rRNA from 1 species
CAGUAGCCACGGUAAUACGAAGGGUGCAAGCGUUACUCGGAAUUACUGGGCGUAAAGCGUGCGUAGGUGGUGGUUUAAGUCCGUUGUGAAAGCCCUGGGCUCAACCUGGGAAUUGCAGUGGAUACUGGGUCACUAGAGUGUGGUAGAGGAUAGUGGAAUUUCCGGUGUAGCAGUGAAAUGCGUAGAGAUCGGAAGGAACAUCUGUGGCGAAGGCGACUAUCUGGGCCAACACUGACACUGAGGCACGAAAGCGUGGGGAGCAAACAGGAUUAGAUACCCGAGUAGUCCCUGUCUCUUAUAU